rnacentral:tRNA from 1 species
AACUUUAUAUUCAAUAUAAUAAAUGAUAUUAAAAUGCAAUUUUAAAGUAGUAAUUUUUUACUAAAGUUU